AAGACCUUGCGCUUUUGGAGCGGCCGAUGCCUGAUUAGCUUGUUGGUAAGGUAAAAGCUUACCAAGGCUUCGAUCAGUAGCUGGUCUGAAAGGACGGCCAGCCACACUGGGACUGAGACACGGCCCAGACUCCUACGGGAGGCAGCAGUGGGGAAUUUUGGACAAUGGGGGCAACCCUGAUCCAGCCAUGCCGCGUGAGUGAAGAAGGCCUUCGGGUUGUAAAGCUCUUUCAGCCGGAACGAAACGGUUACGGUUAAUACCCGUGAUUACUGACGGUACCGGAAGAAGAAGCACCGGCUAACUACGUGCCAGCAGCCGCGGUAAUACGUAGGGUGCGAGCGUUAAUCGGAAUUACUGGGCGUAAAGCGUGCGCAGGUGGUUUUGUAAGUCAGAUGUGAAAGCCCCGGGCUCAACCUGGGAACU
rnacentral:rRNA from 1 species